rnacentral:rRNA from 1 species
GACGAACGCUGGCGGCGUGCUUAACACAUGCAAGUCGAACGGUGACCUCGAGAGCUUGCUCUUGGGUGAACAGUGGCGAACGGGUGAGAACACGUGAGUAACCUGCCCCUGACUCUGGAAUAAGCGCUGGAAACGGCGUCUAAUACCGGAUAUGACACACCCUCGCAUGGGGAGUGUGUGGAAAGUUUUUCGGUCUGGGAUGGAGUCGCGGCCUAUCAGCUUGUUGGUGAGGUAGUGGCUCACCAAGGCGAUGACGGGUAGCCGGCCUGAGAGGGCGACCGGCCACACUGGGACUGACACGCGGCCCAGAUGCCUACGGGAGGCAGCAGGGGGGAAUCUUGCACAAUGGGCGCAGGCCUGAUGCAGCGACGCCGCGUGAGGGAUGACGGCCUUCGGGUUGUAAACCUCUUUCAGCAGGGAAGAAGCGCAAGUGACGGUACCUGCAGAAGAAGCACCGGCUAACUACGUGCCAGCCGCCGCAGUAA